ensembl:lncRNA
GUGAUGCUGUGUGAGUAGAUGGAGGUUGUUGCGUUCAGGGCCGGUCUGAGCACUUUUCUGUCCUCUAAGGUGAACCAGACGUGCAGGUGUGAUCUACCAGACCUGGUUGCUGAUGUGCGACACCUGUUCUAAAGCCCCUCCUCCACUCAGAAUUUCUCUCCCAGACAGGAAUCUAUCUGUCCAUCUCUCCAUCCAUCCAUUAUCUAGACACCGCUUUAUCCUCUGAAGGGUAUCGAGGGACUGGAGUCUAUCCCUGCUGACUCAGGGUGAAGACAGGGGACACCCUGGACAGCUGGGGUUGUAACAUCAUGGGGACUCGUCCGGGAUCUGAACUCUUGGACCAAAGUGGGAAUCACAUCCUUAGACCCAUCCCAACAAUUAGGGGGUAAAUCUAGUCUGGGAUCUCCGUGUGAAGCGAUUUUUGGUAGACUAUUUGUAAUGUUUACAGAUCUAGUCCCAAACUGCUCACAAACCAUUUGGGGCCUGAUAAUAUCAAGCAUAUUUGAUAUUUUCAAUUGAAUAUCUGGA